rnacentral:lncRNA from 1 species
CCCUCUCUUGCUUUUUGGUCCUUAGCUAUUGUAGCUAGAACAGUUGCAGCCUGUUCCCCUCCCAUCACCGAUAUGCGAGCAUUUGGCCACAUAUACAGAAAUCUUGGACUGUAUGCUCUUCCACACAUCCCAUAGUUUCCAGCACCAUAGGAGCCACCAAUAAUGACUGUUAUUUUAGGUACACUGGCACAAGCUACAGCGGUUACCAUCUUUGCACCAUCUUUUGCUAUCCCUCCUGCUUCAUAUUCUCUACCAACCAUGAAACCUGUAAUGUUCUGCAAAAACACAAUGGGAAUAUUUCUCUGGCAACACAACUGAAUGAAAUGUGUACCCUUUUUUGCUGACUCUGAGAAGAGAACUCCAUUGUUUCCAAUAAUUCCUACUAGAUAACCAAAUAUUCUUGCAAAUCCUGUGAUUAAAGUAUCUCCAUACAAGGCUUUGAAUUCA